CACGAACCGUACGAACGUUAUUCGGAAUCACUGGGCUUACAGAGUUCGUAGGCGGUCUGGAAAGUUGGGUGUGAAAUCCCUCGGCUCAACCGAGGAACUGCGCUUGAAACUACCAGACUCGAGGGAGAUAGAGGAAAGCGGAACUGAUGGUGGAGCGGUGAAAUGCGUUGAUAUCAUCAGGAACACCGGUGGCGAAGGCGGCUUUCUGGGUCUUACCUGACGCUGAGGAACGAAAGCCAGGGGAGCGAACGGG
rnacentral:rRNA from 1 species